GAGAGACAGGAGUUAUUUCUGAAGGAGAAAAAAGACUCGAUUGUCAAUGUCAGAAGAGGUAGAAAGAGAACUUCCAAGCAGGGCCAGGCCAAACGGCCGUUCCCCCUGGCGGCGCCUCCUCCGCUCGCUCCGGCACGGCCCCCUCUUUCCUUCUCUCCGGCCCAGCCGCGCGCGGCCCCAAAUUUCAAAGCGCGGCCGCUGGGAGGUACACAGCGGAGCAAGACGCUCCCCGCUUCCUCGACCGAUUGCCGUUGGAACCCGGUUCAGGGCGCUGCCUCCUCCACCGGAGCACCGCCGCCUCCUCCGGCGUCCUCGACCCGCAGAGAUCGCCGCCACCAUUGACCGCGUUUCCGCGGACGCCGCCUCCAGGGUUCGGCAAGGCUGAAAACUUCGACAUCCCGUCCCUUGGAAGAAAAGGUCUUGGUCCUCGUGAACCCUAGAGAAGAGAUAAAGAGUUGUGAUGCAUUCAAGAACGCGCUACAGAGAAGGCUGCGAUGAAGGUUAAGAAGAAAAACAAACACCUGGCUGGUGGCCGCAAGGACGAAGGCAGAUCAGCUCCAUAUUGCACAAGUAGGCAAGCUGAAUUGCAAAAUUGCACAAAAGACCCGGCCCAAGGCUACGCUGCGCAAGCAGGCAAUUGCAACUGAAGCCUAGAAUGAAGUGCGUCAGACAUUAGAUUGUUAUCGCCAUCUACACAAGACAGAAGCCAGGUUUUGGAAUAAUACAGCUUAAGACACGUCCUGAACUACAAAGGUCAAGGUCUCAAGGAAACUGAACAAUCAAGACCGAUUGCAAUUUACGACAGCAGGUGGAGUAAUCUACUAAAACAACACAAUUUAGAGAGGAGAUUUGAGAAGGUGAUCAGUAGGAACAGGGAAGACAAUACACCAACACAACAACCCCACCGCAGCCACCGCCCGCCGGAUCCAGGAUCGCGGGUGGAUAGGUAUGGGCUGGCAGCUUUGAUCUCGACAUUUUUUCUCUCUUGAAACUUGGCAUAAGAAAGCAGAUAGAAUAGGUGGAUUUAUAAUGAAUGUGUUCUAGUUUUCUGGGUUUAAACACUCUUACCUCUAAUAGUAGCGAACCAUUUGUUUCGCUCCAUUGCCACUGAUAUAUUCUGAACUGAAACGUAGAUAAUUUCAGAUGUA